GGCUGCUCUGUUGGGCUGUGCCUCUUUCCCCUAACCCAGCUGAGACCACACCACCAGACAGUAGAUAACUCAUCAGCUGGACUCUCCCCACUUUUGUGCCUAUGGCAGUUGCUGGGAUGAGAUGUGCUCUUGGUGCGGUCCAUUACCAACAGAGAAGGAAUUAUGUGACAUCAUAUUGGAUUCGAUGACGUGUGAAAUCCAGGGCCUCAUGGCUAUUCUGAGGCAGCGUCAUGACGACACAGGCUUUACUGUGACGAGCCUGAACCUUUGUUGUUGUCCUAUGGCCUGGUCCCAGGUGAGCAGUAUGUCCUGUGCCGAAGACUCAUUAAAGUAGAAGUCUUCCUCCAGAUCGAGAAGGUGUGGCUGAGUAAGGAGGGGAGUACCAGCUGUCGCAUCACCCCAGCCUCGUUCUCCAAUGAGAGAUCCAUCGACAAGAUGGAGCGCUUCUGAGGAACUCCCUUCAUUCAUUUCACUAAUGCUCUCUAACCACAUCCUGUCCAAUACUUCUACCACAUCACUGUUACCUCCUGUCUCUGUGGGUAUUAUCCUUCCCCUCCCAUCUGAAGCUUUAUCUUUCUCAAUUGAUUGUUUCCUCCCCAACCUUUAUGAAAAAUACAUAAAAAAAUACAAUGCUGUAAAGCUAGAGUCCUUAGUUGUUACAUCCAUUUGCUGUACUUAAAAAUAUAUAACCAAUGAUUCUUGAAGAAUAGAACUUAUACACUGAGUGUACAAAACAUUAAGAACACCUUCAUAUUAUUGAGUU